rnacentral:rRNA from 1 species
GUGGGGAAUAUUGGACAAUGGGCGAAAGCCUGAUCCAGCCAUGCCGCGUGUGUGAAGAAGGUCUUCGGAUUGUAAAGCACUUUAAGUUGGGAGGAAGGGUUGUAGAUUAAUACUCUGCAAUUUUGACGUUACCGACAGAAUAAGCACCGGCUAACUUCGUGCCAGCAGCCGCGGUAAUACGAAGGGUGCAAGCGUUAAUCGGAAUUACUGGGCGUAAAGCGCGCGUAGGUGGUUCGUUAAGUUGGAUGUGAAAGCCCCGGGCUCAACCUGGGAACGGCAUCCAAAACUGGCGAGCUAGAGUACGGUAGAGGGUGGUGGAAUUUCCUGUGUAGCGGUGAAAUGCGUAGAUAUAGGAAGGAACACCAGUGGCGAAGGCGACCACCUGGACUGAUACUGACACUGAGGUGCGAAAGCGUGGGGAGCAAACAGGAUUAGAAACCCCAGUAGUCC